rnacentral:rRNA from 1 species
GUGGGGAAUAUUGGACAAUGGGCGCAAGCCUGAUCCAGCCAUGCCGCGUGUGUGAAGAAGGUCUUCGGAUUGUAAAGCACUUUAAGUUGGGAGGAAGGGCAGUAAGUUAAUACCUUGCUGUUUUGACGUUACCGACAGAAUAAGCACCGGCUAACUUCGUGCCAGCAGCCGCGGUAAUACGAAGGGUGCAAGCGUUAAUCGGAAUUACUGGGCGUAAAGCGCGCGUAGGUGGUUUUGUAAGUUGGAGGUGAAAUCCCCGGGCUCAACCUGGGAACUGCCUCCAAAACUGCAUGACUAGAGUACGGUAGAGGGUAGUGGAAUUUCCUGUGUAGCGGUGAAAUGCGUAGAUAUAGGAAGGAACACCAGUGGCGAAGGCGACUACCUGGACUGAUACUGACACUGAGGUGCGAAAGCGUGGGGAGCAAACAGGAUUAGAUACCCGGGUAGUCC